rnacentral:rRNA from 1 species
UGGGGAAUAUUGCACAAUGGGGGAAACCCUGAUGCAGCGACGCCGCGUGAAGGAAGAAGUAUUUCGGUAUGUAAACUAUUGUCGUUAGGGAAGAAAAAAGACAGUACCUAAGGAGGAAGCUCCGGCUAACUACGUGCCAGCAGCCGCGGUAAUACGUAGGGAGCAAGCGUUAUCCGGAUUUAUUGGGUGUAAAGGGUGCGUAGACGGGCGAUCAAGUUAGUUGUGAAAUCCCUCGGCUCAACUGAGGAACUGCAACUAAAAUCUGGUUGUCUUGAGUGCAGGAGAGGUAAGUGGAAUUCCUAGUGUAGCGGUGAAAUGCGUAGAUAUUAGGAGGAACACCAGUGGCGAAGGCGACUUACUGGACUGUAACUGACGUUGAGGCACGAAAGUGUGGGGAGCAAACAGGAUUAGAUACC